rnacentral:tRNA from 1 species
AGUUUUAAUAGUUUAAAAAAACAUUGAUUUUGUAAAUCAAAAAUAAGUUAAUUCUUUUAAAACU